CCUACGGGUGACAGCAGUGAGGAAUAUUGGUCAAUGGGCGCGAGCCUGAACCAGCCAAGUAGCGUGAAGGAUGACUGCCCUACGGGUUGUAAACUUCUUUUAUAAAGGAAUAAAGUGAGGCACGUGUACCUUUUUGUAUGUACUUUAUGAAUAAGGAUCGGAUAACUCCGUGCCAGCAGCCGCGGUAAAACGGAGGAUACGAGCGUUAACCGGAUUUAUUUGGUUUAAAGGGAGCGUAGAUGGGUUGUUAAGUCAGUUGUGAAAGUUUGCGGCUCAACCGUAAAAUUGCCAUUGAUACUGGCAGCCUUGAGUACAGUUGAUGUAGGCGGAAUUCGUGGUGUAGCGGUGAAAUGCAUAGAUAUCACGCAGAACUCCGAUUGCGAAGGCAGCAUACCGGCGCCCAACUGACGCUGAAGCACGAAAGCGUGGGUAUCGAACAGGAUUAGAUACCCCAGUAGUC
rnacentral:rRNA from 1 species